GACGUAGGGGGCCAGCGUUGUUCGGAAUUACUGGGUGUAAAGGGUUCGUAGGCGGUGCGGCAAGUCGGGAGUGAAAUCUCUGGGCUUAACCCAGAGGCUGCUUCCGAAACUGCUGUGCUUGAGUGUGGGAGAGGAGAGUGGAAUUCCCGGUGUAGCGGUGAAAUGCGCAGAUAUCGGGAAGAACACCCGUGGCUAAGGCGGCUCUCUAGUACGGUACUGACGCUGAGACGCGAAAGCGUGGGGAGCGAACAGG
rnacentral:rRNA from 1 species